CAUGGGGGCGGAGGGCCUUGGGCAGCAUGAGGGCGUGGGUCACGGCUGCGUCAACGCCUUGGGCACGCACUCGAUGAGCUCGGCAGUGUGUUGCCUGGUGACAGCCAGCACCAAGGACGCUCAUCCCCACCAGGUUGACAGUGACUCCCCACAGGACCGUCCACCGGGGGCCUCCAGACAAGCUCCUGUCCCCUCACACUUUUCCCUGGGAAGGGGAUGGGCAGAACCUGGGAGCUCACCUGACAGGAGUCCACCUUCCCGUCCAGGUAGCCGGCACACACCAUCCUGUCGAUGGAACUUUCCAAGAACGAGGGGCCCCCAUGACCGCGCUCUCCCGGCCCCUCGGAGCCUGAGACCAGGGUGGAGGAGCCGCCUGGGGCUGGGUAAGGCCGUCUGUGUUUUCUUUGGUGUCCCUGCGAACUCACACUGAAGGUCACCCUGAAGGUCAGCUGCCCACUCGGGUCAGGGGCAGCAGCUGUGCCCAGCCCCCGCCUGGGAGCUCGUCAACAGCCACCAGCGCUGGCAGCUGCCUUAUGGACGGGGCAGAGGGAACAUUUCUGCCACAGAGGAGAGUCCUGAUGGAGGGUGCUGCAGUGUGGUCACUCCAGCCUGGACAGCGCGUUAGGAUAGCCAGAGGGGACCGCGGAGGUCCUGGACAGCAACUGACAAAUCUGACCUUCAGCAGCCGGAAUGGCUCCCAGUCCACUCUCCAGAGAGACCGUCCCCACCCUGUGGCUUUCGAGUGCUGAGUCUGCCCCUAUUUCUGUGGCAAGGGUGGGCCCUUGUGAUGGUCAAUAAAGUUUUAUUGACACACG